AGAAGUUUGAUCCUGGCUCAGAUUGAACGCUGGCGGCAGGCCUAACACAUGCAAGUCGAACGGUAACAGGAAGCAGCUUGCUGCUUCGCUGACGAGUGGCGGACGGGUGAGUAAUGUCUGGGAAACUGCCUGAUGGAGGGGGAUAACUACUGGAAACGGUAGCUAAUACCGCAUAACGUCGCAAGACCAAAGAGGGGGACCUUCGGGCCUCUUGCCAUCGGAUGUGCCCAGAUGGGAUUAGCUAGUAGGUGGGGUAACGGCUCACCUAGGCGACGAUCCCUAGCUGGUCUGAGAGGAUGACCAGCCACACUGGAACUGAGACACGGUCCAGACUCCUACGGGAGGCAGCAGUGGGGAAUAUUGCACAAUGGGCGCAAGCCUGAUGCAGCCAUGCCGCGUGUAUGAAGAAGGCCUUCGGGUUGUAAAGUACUUUCAGCGGGGAGGAAGGGAGUAAAGUUAAUACCUUUGCUCAUUGACGUUACCCGCAGAAGAAGC
rnacentral:rRNA from 1 species